GGGUGUCAAGGGCUAAGGAGGGAGGAGGCCUCUGGGCAGGAAGCACGGGACUCCUGGUGCCCAGCCACACCCAGGCAGGCGGCCCUCGUGCCUGGCUGCUGCCCAGACCUCUACCAAAGGCCAGCCCUUCCCUAGCAGUGUGGUUUAUUUUUUUCUUUGAAUCACCAAUAACAGGGCAGCCUUCUGCAGAGGCUUCCUGAAGCCCACCUUUACAUCUCCAAGGCCAAAGUCCAAACUCCUUGGCCUGGCAGCCAGGUCCCUUACCACCUGGGCCUGCCUGGCUCUGUGAAACCGAGCCCCUGUAGCUCCUCUGCCUCCCCUCACCUUCCCUUCGUGCUGGCUGGUCUCUGCACCGGGAAGUGCACUUGCUUCCACACCUCCAGGCCCAGUGGUUCCAGAACUUCAGUAAAUACGAGGCUCCUUCAAAGAGAAAAGGCUGAUACAGCUCAAGCCUAUCAAGCCAAGCCCGGCACUUGUGGAGUCCCCGCCAGGACUUGAACGCCAUCUCGUCCUCCAAACUGGGCUUGGCAUUAUUAUUAGCUCCAUUCUGCAGCUGGGGUUUCUGAAGCCAAAGCCAAAGAGCUGAGAGAGCCAGUCUCCACCCCUCCAGGACCGAAUCUGUCGUGAAGCGGGUUGUCGCCUGGCCCUUGGACCUGGACAGUGAAGACCUACAGAACCCAGGAUGAAAGACGGCAGGCC
rnacentral:lncRNA from 1 species